UCCAUCGUGUGAAGAUGGAGCAGUCAUGGCUCUCCUUGACGUUGCACUUCUUCCCAUCGCCGUUGGGCCACGGGCGGCGGUAGGCCACGGGCAGCGGUGGGACACUAGCACCGAACGAAUCGCUAGGGGCGCACGGGCGUGGUGGCGGUAGGACACGGGAGUCACGAUCAAAGGGUAGGGAGAGACGGACACCUCAAGGGAUUUGAAAAAGUGGCUAGCGGUGGGGGGCUUAACUGCAAAAUAAUCCCACCUCUAACCCUAUCUAUGGAUUAGCAUCUUGUAGCCUUGAUUUAUAGUUUUCAAGGUUG
rnacentral:lncRNA from 1 species